UGAAGAAUCCUUUUGGAAACGUUGGC
rnacentral:piRNA from 1 species